rnacentral:lncRNA from 1 species
ACUGGCUUGGUCAAAGAAUCCUAUUAGAUAUAAGCUGGCAAGUUUCAAGUUUAUGUUUGGCCGAAUCCAUACCCAUAUUACAAAAUGGGAAGAAAAGAUCCGAGAAUUAGAAUCUAUUUUUGCCCUGGGCUGCCGAUAUGGAUACAAUGUUAAUAUCUUGCAAGAUAUAUGGAAAAAAGAAUAUUACUCUAUCUAAAACCAAACGAACAGUGACCAUAUGCUAGCACGAGAGAGAGAUACUAGGCCAUAUGUACCCAUCACAUAUUACCCAGAAGUGAAUAAAGUGUUACGUAAAUAUACAAGACAAGGGAAAUAUAAGAUAGCCCUUAAGAGGGCCCCCACUUUAUUUAAUCAUAUAAGAAACAAUAAAGACGUCGUUCCUAAAUGUAAGAAGGCUGGAGUCUACACCAUCCCUAUAUAACGAAGAUGAAGAUAAAUAACAGUUUAACGU